GGGCUUGACAUCCCACGAACCUGAGGAAACUCGGGAGUGCCCUUCGGGGAGCUAAGAGACAGGUGGUGCGCGGCUGUCGUCAGCUCGUGUCGUGAGAUGUUGGGUUAAGUCCCGCAACGAGCGCAACCCUCACCUUUAGUUGCUCGCCCGCAAGGGAAGCACCCUAAGGGAACUGCCGGCGAUAAACCGGAGGAAGGCGGGGGUGACGUCAAGUCCUCAUGGCCUUUAUGUCCAGGGCUACACACGUGCUACAAUGGGCGGUACAAAGGGCAGCCAACCUGCGAAGGUGCGCGAAUCCCAAAAAGCCGUCCUCAGUUCGGAUUGCAGUCUGCAACUCGACUGCAUGAAGGUGGAAUCGCUAGUAAUCGCGGAUCAGCAUGCCGCAGUGAAUACGUCCCCGGGUCUUGUACACACCGCCCGUCACAUCACGAAAGUGGGCUGUACUCGAAGUCGCUGAG
rnacentral:rRNA from 1 species